GGGGAAUUAGCUCAGCUGGCUAGAGCAUCGGCUUUGCAAGCCGAGGGUCAGGGGUUCGAACCCCCUAUUCUCCAUCA
rnacentral:tRNA from 1 species